rnacentral:rRNA from 1 species
AUUGAACGCUGGCGGCAGGCCUAACACAUGCAAGUCGAGCGGAUGAAGGGAGCUUGCUCCUGGAUUCAGCGGCGGACGGGUGAGUAAUGCCUAGGAAUCUGCCUGGUAGUGGGGGAUAACGUCCGGAAACGGGCGCUAAUACCGCAUACGUCCUGAGGGAGAAAGUGGGGGAUCUUCGGACCUCACGCUAUCAGAUGAGCCUAGGUCGGAUUAGCUAGUUGGUGGGGUAAAGGCCUACCAAGGCGACGAUCCGUAACUGGUCUGAGAGGAUGAUCAGUCACACUGGAACUGAGACACGGUCCAGACUCCUACGGGAGGCAGCAGUGGGGAAUCUUGGACAAUGGGCGAAAGCCUGAUGCAGCCAUGCCGCGUGUGUGAAGAAGGUCUUCGGAUUGUAAAGCACUUUAAGUUGGGAGGAAGGGCAGUAAGUUAAUCCCUUGCUGUUUUGACGUUACCAACAGAAUAAGCACCGGCUAACUUCGUG